rnacentral:rRNA from 1 species
GACGAACGCUGGCGGCGUGCUUAACACAUGCAAGUCGAACGAAGAGCGAUGGAAGCUUGCUUCUAUCAAUCUUAGUGGCGAACGGGUGAGUAACGCGUAAUCAACCUGCCCUUCAGAGGGGGACAACAGUUGGAAACGACUGCUAAUACCGCAUACGAUCUAAUCUCGGCAUCGAGGAUAGAUGAAAGGUGGCCUCUACAUGUAAGCUAUCACUGAAGGAGGGGAUUGCGUCUGAUUAGCUAGUUGGAGGGGUAACGGCCCACCAAGGCGAUGAUCAGUAGCCGGUCUGAGAGGAUGAACGGCAACAUUGGGACUGAGACACGGCCCAGACUCCUACGGGAGGCAGCAGUGGGGAAUCUUCCGCAAUGGACGAAAGUCUGACGGAGCAACGCCGCGUGAGUGAUGACGGCCUUCGGGUUGUAAAGCUCUGUUAAUCGGGACGAAAGGCCUUCUUGCGAACAGUUAGAAGGAUUGACGGUACCGGAAUAGAAAGCCACGGCUAACUACGUG